GUCUAUGGCCAUACCACCCUGAAUGGACCCAAUCUCAGCUGGUCUCAGAAGCUAAGCAGGGUCGGGCGUGGUUAGUCCUGGGAGAAGCUCUUCAGAGAGGACUGCUCAAAGACA
rnacentral:rRNA from 1 species